rnacentral:ncRNA from 1 species
AAUAGAGGAGCGGGCGAGCAAAAGUACUUCCGCCGCACAAAAAAACGGUUUUUUGGCGGAAGAAAAGGGCAUCCCCGCCGAAGCGCAGGGCGGAGCCGGACCCCUGCUGCUGGGCGCACGGGUCAAUACCUUUGCGACUGUCACCGAUGUGGAGAACUAUUU